GACGAACGCUGGCGGCGUGCCUAAUACAUGCAAGUCGAACGAAGCUUUUUUAACUGGUGCUUGCACCGACUUAAACAACUGAGUGGCGAACGGGUGAGUAACACGUGGGUAACCUGCCCCAAAGCGGGGGAUAACGUUUGGAAACAGAUGCUAAUACCGCAUAACCACAGAAACCACAUGGUUUCUGUGUCAAAGAUGGUUUCGGCUAUCACUUUGGGAUGGACCCGCGGCGUAUUAGCUAGUUGGUAAGGUAAUGGCUUACCAAGGCAAUGAUACGUAGGCGAACUGAAGGGUUGAUCGGCCACAUUGGGACUGAGACACGGCCCAAACUCCUACGGGAGGCAGCAGUAGGGAAUCUUCCACAAUGGACGAAAGUCUGAUGGAGCAACGCCGCGUGAGUGAAGAAGGUUUUCGGAUCGUAAAACUCUGUUGUCAGAGAAGAACGUGUGCGAGAGUAACUGUUCGUGCAGUGACGGUAUCUGGCCAGAAAGCCACGGCUAACUACGUGCCAGCCGCCGCGGUAA
rnacentral:rRNA from 1 species